GAGAUGGACAGGUAGCGGAGGAGAUAUGAGGAGAUGGACAGGUAGCGGAGGAGAUAUGAGGAGAUGGACAGGUAGCGGAGGAGAUAUGAGGAGAUGGACAGGUAGCGGAGGAGAUAUUUGGUCCUACUUGACCUACCUUUCCAUUUUUCUGCCGUGUGAUGAAGAGGAUAUGGUAGUCACCAAGGAUUUUCUUUUCCUCAAAAAUUAGCUACUCUGGUGGAUCCAGGAGUCUAGAAUAGAUAUUUUCUCAGGUUUAGUGGUGUUCUCAGGCCUGAGAACACAAAUUAAAGGGCAAUUAUACCCUCAUCAUUGUAUUUAUACAGAGAUGUAAUCAGCAUUUAUGUAUAGCUGAGGGAUCGGGCCCAUUUAUUUAUUUAUUUAUUUAUCUAUUUAUUAGUUACCCCUAAAAUCCUCUUUCCUGGUCCUCCAAUGCAGCAUGGCACUAUAGUCUUGUAACCAGGGUGGGGCUUGCACCCAGGAGAGGUCUCCUAUCAUCUCUAUAAUGAUAGCUAUUAUCCAUAAUGCACACAGGCUUUUAAGAGUGAGCUAUCCCUUUUAAGAUCCAGGGAAUCCAGUACAGUAUGGGCCUGGUAACUUAAAUAUCCCCAGUAAAUGAAGAUACCAAAAAAAAUCCUGGGUGACAACCAAUGACCUCCAUUACAUUGCCAGCUCUCCCAGACUCCUGAAUGCCAGUUCCACCUAAUUACACAGUAAAAUAUCUUUCAAUAACAUAUUAACAAGCGGAUUUGCCAUGGCGGACUAUACGAACGCUGGUAACUAUUCACCGGGUGUUACUGUAAGUUUUUUUUAUACUUUGGGUGGAAAUGGCCUUUAAGUUAACAACAUGCAUGUUUAAUAUCCUAUUCUUUCUCAUCUGCUCUGUCCUUACACUAGUAU